UUUUUCCAGGGAAUUUCGAUGUUUGAUUUUGGGGGCCAAAUAACCAAAUUAGGUCAUGAAAUUUGUAGGAUCCACAAUUUUAGGCCCUCUAAAUAUAGUGGAACCCUUAGAUUUUAAAAAAUCAGACCCAAAAUGGUAGUUAAACUUUGGACCCUAGGUUGCUAGUCUACUUUGUAUACAUUCUUUAAUAUGGCCUAUUCCACACAAUCUUUAGUACUAGAACCCAUAUAAUUCAAGUAAAACAACUUAAAUAAGCAUUA